GAUCAUGGCUCAGGACGAACGCUGGCGGCGUGCCUAAUACAUGCAAGUAGAACGCUGAAGGAGGAGCUUGCUUCUCUGGAUGAGUUGCGAACGGGUGAGUAACGCGUAGGUAACCUGCCUGGUAGCGGGGGAUAACUAUUGGAAACGAUAGCUAAUACCGCAUAACAGUAGAUAUCGCAUGAUAGCUGCUUGAAAGGUGCAAAUGCACCACUACCAGAUGG
rnacentral:rRNA from 1 species